AUUGAACGCUAGCGGGAUGCUCUACACAUGCAAGUCGAACGGCAGCGCGGACUUCGGUCUGGCGGCGAGUGGCGAACGGGUGAGUAAUGUAUCGGAACGUGCCCAGUAGCGGGGGAUAACUACGCGAAAGCGUAGCUAAUACCGCAUACGCCCUACGGGGGAAAGCCGGGGAUCGUAAGACCUUGCACUAUUGGAGCGGCCGAUAUCGGAUUAGCUAGUUGGUGAGGUAACGGCUCACCAAGGCGACGAUCCGUAGCUGGUUUGAGAGGACGACCAGCCACACUGGGACUGAGACACGGCCCAGACUCCUACGGGAGGCAGCAGUGGGGAAUUUUGGACAAUGGGGGCAACCCUGAUCCAGCCAUCCCGCGUGUGCGAUGAAGGCCUUCGGGUUGUAAAGCACUUUUGGCAGGAAAGAAACGUCGCGGGCUAAUACCCCGUGGAACUGACGGUACCUGCAGAAUAAGCACCGGCUAACUACGUG
rnacentral:rRNA from 1 species